GGCACGGGCAGGAGGAGGAGGAGUCAUCUUCAUCGCGGUCCGAGGCAGCAGCAGCAGCACGCAAGCAGCGCGACUCGGCGGCGGACAGCAGCAGCAGCAGGAUGUCGGGGCCCGCGGCGAAGGUGGCGAAGAAGGAGGCCAACUCGAAUCACGACGGCGCGGACGAGGCGUCGGAGAAGGAGCAGCAGGAAGCCAUCGAGCAGAUAGACGAGGUG